rnacentral:rRNA from 1 species
CGCUGGCGGCAGGCCUAACACAUGCAAGUCGAGCGAGGUAGCAAUACCUAGCGGCGGACGGUGAGUAACGCGUAUGCAACCUACCUAUCACAGGGGAAUAGCCUUUGGAAACAGGGAUUAAUACCGCAUAAAGCAGGGGACACCGCAUGGUGAUAUUGCUAAAGAUUUAUCGGUGAUAGAUGGGCAUGCGUCUGAUUAGUUAGUUGGCAGGGUAACGGCCUACCAAGACGAUGAUCAGUAGGGGGCGUCAGAGCGUGGUCCCCCACACUGGCACUGAGAUACGGGCCAGACUCCUACGGGAGGCAGCAGUAGGGAAUAUUGGGCAAUGGAUGCAAGUCUGACCCAGCCAUGCCGCGUGCAGGAAGAAGGUCCUCUGGAUUGUAAACUGCUUUUAUCGGGGAAGAAUAGUUUUCUUGCGAGGGAAUGUGACGGUACCCGAUGAAUAAGCCACGGCUAACUACGUG